rnacentral:rRNA from 1 species
GGGGAAUAUUGCACAAUGGGGGAAACCCUGAUGCAGCGACGCCGCGUGAGUGAAGAAGUAUUUCGGUAUGUAAAGCUCUAUCAGCAGGGAAGAUAAUGACGGUACCUGAGUAAGAAGCCCCGGCUAACUAC